CCACCUUCCAUUGUAGAAGAAUAAGCAACGUAAGGAUCAUUUCCCCAGGAAAAAAAAUAGGGGCUUGAAGAUUUGAACUGUGUUUGAGCAUUCUAUAGAAAAAUCCAAACAAAACAUUGAUGCUGGAGAAUGUUAUGUAGAAAAGCCCUUCAAGUCUCUAACUUUUAGAUUGCUGAGAAGCAUGAGGAAAUAAUUCCUCAGAAUAGCGUACAUGAUCACUGUGCAAAUAGGAUGAUUUUACGAUAUUUUCCCAUUUGGAACUAGUAGAGGAUGUCUUAGGAUCCUCCUGCUUACUCUGGAAACUGGUGCCUUGGUGUAAAU
rnacentral:misc_RNA from 1 species